rnacentral:rRNA from 1 species
UACGGGGGGAGCAAGCGUUGUUCGGAUUUACUGGGCGUAAAGGGCGCGUAGGCGGCCACCGCAAGUCGACUGUGAAAUCUCCGGGCUUAACCCGGAAAGGUCAGCCGAUACUGCGGGGCUAGAGUGCAGAAGGGGCAACUGGAAUUCUCGGUGUAGCGGUGAAAUGCGUAGAUAUCGAGAGGAACACCUGCGGCGAAGGCGGGUUGCUGGGCUGACACUGGCGCUGAAGCGCGAAAGCUAGGGGAGCGAACGGG